rnacentral:misc_RNA from 1 species
AUAAAGCUCCUGCACAAGAUAAAGAGGAAGCUGCAAAAGAUGUAACAAGUGAAAAGGUCAACAAUAUUUCAUUGGAAGAAAAAGCUGUUAGUCAGGAGUCCUUGACUUUUGCUGAUAAAGUGGAGGCAAAGAAUGCAUUCAAAGCACUUUUGGAGUCUGCAAAUGUUGGGUCUGACUGGACUUGGGACCAGGCCAUGAGAAUGAUAAUCAAUGACAGAAGAUAUGGUGCACUGAAAACACUUGGAGAACGGAAGCAAGCAUUUAAUGAGUACUUAGGACAAAAGAGAAAACAGGAGGCUGAGGAAAGGCGGAUUAAACAGAAAAAAGCAAGGGAAGAUUUCAAGAAUAUGCUAGAAGAAUCCAGAGAGCUUUCAUCAACCACGCGAUGGAGCAAAGCAGUGACAAUGUUUGAAAAUGAUGAGCGUUUUAAAGCUGUUGAACGAGAAAGAGACCGCAGAGAUCUGUUUGAUGCCCACUUGCAGGAACUUGAAGGAAAUGAGCGAGCAAAGAUACAGGAGGAGCGCAAACGGAAUAUUAUGGAGUAUAGGCAAUUUUUGGAAUCUUGUGACUUUAUUAAGGCUAGCACACAGUGGCGAAAAGUUCAGGAUCGGUUAGAGGCAGAUGAGAGAUGUUCUCGUCUUGAAAAAAUUGAUCGCUUGGAUAUUUUCCAGGAUUAUUUACGUGAUUUAGAGAAGGAAGAGGAAGAGCAGAGGAAGAUCCAGAAGGAAGAACUGAGAAAGACAGAGCGUAAAAAUCGUGAUGAAUUCCGCAAGCUAUUAGAAGAACAUGUUGCUGCUA